GGAUUGAGCCCUCCCCGCCCGGGCUCCCGACGCGCCGAGGUCUCGGGGAGGCCCGGACGCGCCGGUCGCAGGCCCGGCCGGCGAGCGGCGGGCGGGCGGCGGGGAGGGGGCUGCGCGGGGCGGGCGGCGGGCCCGGCGCUAUUCCGGCCAGGAGGCGGGAGGCGGUUGCCGGCUGCGCGCCGAAGCCUGCGCGCCAGUCCUCCGGCCACUGCUAUCGCCCACGGCCGCACCAUGGCCCUAAAGGCCGAGGGCGCCGCACUCGACUGCUUCGAGGUGACGCUGAAAUGCGAGGAAGGGGAGGACGAGGAGGAGGCCAUGGUGGUGGCCGUAAUUCCGCGGCCCGAGCCGAUGCUCAGAGUGACCCAACAGGAGAAGACCCCACCGCCUAGACCCAGCCCGCUAGAGGCAGGCAGUGAUGGCUGUGAGGAGCCGAAGCAGCAGGUGUCUUGGGAGCAGGAGUUCCUGGUGGGCAGCAGCCCAGGAGGCAGCGGGCGGGCACUGUGCAUGGUGUGUGGCGCUGAGAUCCGGGCACCCUCGGCCGACACAGCUCGCUCGCACAUCUUGGAGCAGCACCCUCACACCUUGGACCUGAGCCCUUCUGAGAAGAGCAAUAUCCUGGAGGCCUGGAGUGAAGGGGUGGCCCUCUUGCAAGACGUGAGAGCUGAGCAGCCGUCCCCACCCAACUCAGACUCGGGCCAGGAUGCCCACCCAGACCCAGACGCCAACCCAGACGCUGCCAGAAUGCCAGCCGAAAUCGUCGUUCUCCUUGACUCUGAGGAUAACCCAUCCCUCCCUAAAAGGAGCCGGCCCAGGGGACUCCGCCCCCUCGAGCUUCCUGCUGUCCCUGCCACAGAGCCAGGAAAUAAGAAGCCCCGUGGUCAGAGAUGGAAGGAACCCCCAGGGGAAGAGCCAGUCAGAAAGAAAAGAGGCAGACCUAUGACCAAAAACCUGGACCCUGACCCAGAGCCCCCAUCGCCAGACUCGCCCACGGAGACUUUCGCAGCACCAGCCGAGGUCCGACACUUCACUGACGGCAGCUUCCCCGCCGGCUUCGUCUUGCAGCUCUUCUCCCACACCCAGCUCAGGGGCCCAGACAGCAAGGACUCACCCAAAGACAGGGAAGUGGCAGAAGGAGGCCUUCCCCGGGCGGAGAGCCCCUCUCCAGUUUCAGCUUGAGUCACAUUCCAGUCCUGGCUCCCUGAGACCGAGUGUGCUGCUUGGACUUGAGCGUGUCCCGAGUCUCCUGGUCCUCUCCGGUGGAUCCCUGCUCUAAAUGGCUGACCUCUUCCACUGUCUAAUGGGUCUUCUGAUUUCAUUCUCGAAAGGGAGCCCUCAUUUCAAGUCCUGGGGUACCCUGUGCGCAAACUCCAUCUAUCUGGAGUGGUAUAUAGGCUGGAGGCAGUAAAUCUUUAAAAACCAGGGGCCCCCGUGGCGGUUCUUUGCGGAGCAGAGGCUCUGGACCUGUGGUUUCAGACGAUCUCACGAACCCAAAGCUUGGACAGAUUUCUCAGAAACCUGUGAGGCUUCGACCAAAAUGUCUCUACUUUCUGUGUUGUUAUGUACGUAUUGAAGUUCUCUGAAGACUUUAUUUAAAUAAAGAUCCUGCCACUUUAAAAAAAAUUAGAGGUGUAAAAAUCGUGGAUUUAACAGUUGGAAAAGGCCACCUGUGGUCAGGUUAGCUGAGCUGAUGAAUGUGAAUGUGAGGUAGUCCAGGAAGACUCUAGAACCUUCUGAGGACCUUGCCAGAGGAGGAUGGGGAGAGUGUGCAGGCCAGGAGAGGAGGUGGGCCACAAUGACCCACUGACAAGUAAUGGAAAGAGGAGCCUCUCUGUCUUGCUGGUGUUUUUCUUUUUUUUAUUUUGGAGAUGGAGUCUCGCUCUGUCGCCCAGGCUGGAGUGCAGUGGCGUGAUCUUGGCUCACUGCAAGCUCCGCCUCCUCCCAGGUUCACACCAUUCUUCUGCCUCAGCCUCCCAAGGAGCUGGGACUACAGGCGCCCACCACCACACCUGGCUAAUUUUUUGUAUUUUUAGUAGAGACGGGGUUUCACUGUGUUAGCCAGGAUGGUCUCGAUCUCCUGACCUCGUGAUCUGCCCGCCUCAACCUCCCAAAAUGCUGGGAUUACAGGCGUGAGCCACUGCACCUGGCCUGUUUUUCUUUUUCUUUUUUUUUUUUGGAGAUGGAGUUUUGCUCUUGUCGCCCAGGCUGGAGUGCAGUGGUGCAAUCUUGGCUCACUGCAACCUCCGCCUCCCAAGUUCAAGCGAUUCUCCUUCCUCAGCCUCCUGAGUAGCUGGGAUUACAGGCGUGCGCCACCACGCCUGGCUAAUUUUUUUGUAUUAUUAGUAGAGAUGGCGUCUCACCCUAUUGGCCAGGCUAGUCUCAAACUCCUGACCUCGGGUGAUCCGCCCACCUCGGCCUCCCAAAGUGCUGGGAUUACAGGCAUGAGCCACUGCACCUGGCCGGUCCUUCUCUUUAUGAUCUCGUGGUUACGGUGGGCUGAUCACUCACUCCUUCCUGGAGACAACUUUCUUCCCUUGGCUUUUCAGGCAGCUGCUCGCCUGGUGUUCCUCUUCCCUCACUAACUGUUCCUUCUCAGUUUCUCUUGCCGCUCACUCUCAGCUCCCAGAGUUGGAACACGUCGUAUCAUUGUCUGCCUUUCCCUUUCUAGAAUGUAAGGGCCUGCAGGUUAGGGUGUUUGCGUCCUGCACUAUAAUAUCUGCGGUAACCAGAACAGUGCCUGGCACAGCGUAGGCCCGGCUUAUGUGUUUGGUGAAUGAGUACGUGCUUAAGUAUCCGCAGCCGUGGGUCAGUGUCGGUACUCGCUCCCUGGGAGAUCUCAUCCAGGUUCACAGCUUUCAAUGACAUGUGUGUGCUCAUAAUGCCCACCUUGGCUGCUCCUUCCUGGUUCCAUCCUCUUUUCCAGUUGCCCAGGUGGCGUCUCUACAUGGGUGUCUAAAAGAUCUCAAACAUUGUGCCACCGCACUCCAGCCUGGCGACAGAGCGAGACUCCAUCUCAAAAAAAAAAAAAAAUCUCAAACUCGCCACAUUGAAACUGAACCCCCAGUCUCACCAAUGCACCCUACCCCUAGACUCCACAAUCUUCCCUUUCCCAGUGAACAGGCAGCCCCAGGCUUCAGUUUGCUGUGACCACACCCACACAGUCAUCCUCUUCUUUCUCCAGCCCAGCAUCUGUCCAGCAGCCGAUCCUCCAAAACAAGUUCAGAGCUCACACUGCUGUCACCACAUCCACUGCUGCUACCCUAGUCAGGGCCGGCUCUCGCCUGGUUCCUGUAACAAACCUAAGCCAGGUCUCCUGGCUGCUGAGCUUUGCCCGCUAUGCUCUGCUCUCCUGUAGCAGCCAGAGUGUCCCUGCUGAGAACACAAGUCAGAUCCAGUCACUCCUCUACUCAUGGCCUUUCUGUGCUGCUCCUGUUGCACUCCAGAUAAAAGCCAGAGCCUUCAUGGUGACUAGUGAGCUCCCCACAGGCUCCUGACCUCUCCCCCCACAUCCCGCUCCCCGCACAGGCACUGGCCUUGCUGUUCCUGGGGAAGCCAGCGUGCUCCACCAGGGCAUCCACAUUUGCUCCUCCCUCUGCUCAAAAUGCUGUUCCCUCCCUGUCUGCCUCACUGGCUCCUCACUCCCUCUGUGUCUGUGGUCCCCUGUCAGCUUUCUGCUAUCCUAUUAUCCUAUCUCCUUUCCCUGGUGUACUUUGCUACUUUGCAUCUGUCCAUAUAUAACAUACUGCAUUUUUUAUUUGUUUAUCCUAUUUAUUAGCUCUGAUAAAUAGAAUGUGAAGUCCCAGAAGGCCACUUAGGGAGCUCCAUUCACCGCUGUACCCCUAGCAAUCCAAACGGCAUUGGGCAUAUAGUACUCAAUAAAUUAUUGUCAAAUUAAUGAA